rnacentral:rRNA from 1 species
UACGGGGGGGCAAGCGUUGUUCGGAAUUACUGGGCGUAAAGGGCUCGUAGGCGGCCAACUAAGUCAGACGUGAAAUCCCUCAGCUUAACUGGGGAACUGCGUCUGAUACUGGAUGGCUUGGAUUCGGGAGAGGAAUGCGGAAUUCCAGGUGUAGCGGUGAAAUGCGUAGAUAUCUGGAGGAACACCGGUGGCGAAGGCGGGUCUCUGGGCCGAUACUGACGCUGAGGAGCGAAAGCGUGGGGAGCGAACAGG